GACGAAGGAUGCAAGCGUUAUCCGGAUUCAUUGGGUUUAAAGGGAGCGUAGGUGGCCUUAUAAGUCAGUGGUGAAAUCUUCGAGCUUAACUCGGAAAUUGCCAUUGAUACUGUAGGGCUUGAGUAUAGUUGCCGUUGGCGGAAUAUGACAUGUAGUGGUGAAAUACAUAGAGAUGUCAUAGAACACCGAUUGCGAAGGCAGCUAACGAAACUAUAACUGACACUGAGGCUCGAAAGUGCGGGGAUCAAACAGG
rnacentral:rRNA from 1 species